AACGAACGCUGGCGGCAUGCCUAACACAUGCAAGUCGAACGAGAUCUUCGGGUCUAGUGGCGCACGGGUGCGUAACGCGUGGGAAUCUGCCCUUUGGUUCGGAAUAACAGUUGGAAACGACUGCUAAUACCGGAUGAUGACGAAAGUCCAAAGAUUUAUCGCCAGAGGAUGAGCCCGCGUAGGAUUAGCUAGUUGGUGUGGUAAAGGCGCACCAAGGUGACGAUCCUUAGCUGGUCUGAGAGGAGGAUCAGCCACACUGGGACUGAGACACGGCCCAGACUCCUACGGGAGGCAGCAGUGGGGAAUAUUGGACAAUGGGCGAAAGCCUGAUCCAGCAAUGCCGCGUGAGUGAUGAAGGCCUUAGGGUUGUAAAGCUCUUUUACCCGGGAUGAUAAUGACAGUACCGGGAGAAUAAGCUCCGGCUAACUCCGUGCCAGCAGCCGCGUAA
rnacentral:rRNA from 1 species